rnacentral:rRNA from 1 species
ACUGAACGCUGGCGGCAUGCCUUACACAUGCAAGUCGAACGGCAGCACGGGGGCAACCCUGGUGGCGAGUGGCGAACGGGUGAGUAAUGCAUCGGAACGUGUCCUCUUGUGGGGGAUAACCAGUCGAAAGAUUGGCUAAUACCGCAUGAGAUCGCAAGAUGAAAGCGGGGGACCGCAAGGCCUCGCGCGAGAGGAGCGGCCGAUGCCGGAUUAGCUAGUUGGUGGGGUAAGAGCCUACCAAGGCGACAAUCCGUAGCUGGUCUGAGAGGACGACCAGCCACACUGGGACUGAGACACGGCCCAGACUCCUACGGGAGGCAGCAGUGGGGAAUUUUGGACAAUGGGCGCAAGCCUGAUCCAGCCAUGCCGCGUGUGUGAAGAAGGCCUGCGGGUUGUAAAGCACUUUUGUUCGGGAAGAAGGCACGCUGGUUAAUACCUGGCGUGGAUGACGGUACCGAAAGAAUAAGCACCGGCUAACUUCGUGCCAGCCGCCGCGGUAAUAC